GAUGAACGCUGGCGGCGUGCCUAAUACAUGCAAGUCGAGCGACGAAGCUUGGUGCUUGCACCAAUUCGAAGAGCAGCGAACGGGUGAGUAACGCGUGGGGAAUCUGCCUCUGAGCGGGGGACAACAUCUGGAAACGAAUGCUAAUACCGCAUAAUAACUUUAAACAUAAGUUUCAAGUGUGAAAGAUGCAAUUGCAUCAUUCAAAGAUGAUCCCGCGUUGUAUUAGCUAGGUGGUGAGGUAAAGGCCCACCCAGGCGACGAUACAUAGGCGACCUGAGAGGGGUGUCGGGCACAAUUGGACCGGGACACGGGCCAAGCUCCUACGGGGAGCAGCAAGUGGGAAACUUUGGCCAAUGGGGGAAGUCUGGCCGCAGAAAGCCGGGGGGGGUGAAGAAGGUUUCCGGGCGGUAAACUCUGUUUGUUGGGAAGGAAGAUGGUGAGAGUGAAAAGCUCAUCUAGUGACGGUAACUACACAGAAAGCGACGGCUAACUACGUG
rnacentral:rRNA from 1 species